AGUGAACGCUGGCGGUAGGCCUAACACAUGCAAGUCGAACGGCAGCACAGUAAGAGCUUGCUCUUACGGGUGGCGAGUGGCGGACGGGUGAGGAAUACAUCGGAAUCUACUUUUUCGUGGGGGAUAACGUAGGAAAACUUACGCUAAUACCGCAUACGACCUACGGGUGAAAGCAGGGGAUCUUCGGACCUUGCGCGAUUGAAUGAGCCGAUGUCGGAUUAGCUAGUUGGCGGGGUAAAGGCCCACCAAGGCGACGAUCCGUAGCUGGUCUGAGAGGAUGAUCAGCCACACUGGAACUGAGACACGGUCCAGACUCCUACGGGAGGCAGCAGUGGGGAAUAUUGGACAAUGGGCGCAAGCCUGAUCCAGCCAUACCGCGUGGGUGAAGAAGGCCUUCGGGUUGUAAAGCCCUUUUGUUGGGAAAGAAAAGCAGCAGGUUAAUACCCCGCUGUUCGGACGGUACCCAAAGAAUAAGCACCGGCUAACUUCGU
rnacentral:rRNA from 1 species